CACAAACCCAUCAGAAGGAGGAAACUCCAGACACAUCUGAACAUCUGAAGGAACAAACUCCAGACACACCAUCUUUAAGAACUUAAUACUCACCAUGAGGGUCCGCAGCUUCCUUCUUGAAGUCAGCAAGACCAAGAACCCACAGGAAGGAACCAAUUCCAGACACAUUUUGGCGACCAUGAAGGGACUAUCGCCUAUUGCCAAGUGAUGGGAAACACUCAGGCAUCAACAGGCUCACCCUUGAAAUGCAUCCUAAGUCAUCGGGACCAAUUUGACCUACAAACCCUGAAAAAGAGGCAGCUCAUUUUUUUCUGCGCUAUGGCCUGGCCCUGAUAUUUUCUCUCUGAUGGGGAAAAAUGGCCACCUGAGGGAAAUAUAAAUUACAGUACUGUCCUGCAGCUUGACCUUUUCUGUAAGAGGGAAGGCAAAUAGAGUGAAAUACUUUA